rnacentral:rRNA from 1 species
GACGAACGCUGGCGGCGUGCUUAACACAUGCAGGUCGAGCGGUAAGGCCCUUCGGGUACACGAGCGGCGAACGGGUGAGUAACACGUGGGUGACCUGCCUCUAGCUCUGGGAUAAGCCUGGGAAACUGGGUCUAAUACCGGAUAUGACUCCACGGCGCAUGUUGUGGGGUGGAAAGCCUUGUGCGGCUAGAGAUGGGCCCGCGGCCUAUCAGCUUGUUGGUGGGGUGAUGGCCUACCAAGGCGACGACGGGUAGCCGGCCUGAGAGGGCGACCGGCCACACUGGGACUGAGACACGGCCCAGACUCCUACGGGAGGCAGCAGUGGGGAAUCUUGCGCAAUGGGCGAAAGCCUGACGCAGCGACGCCGCGUGAGGGAUGACGG